UUGAUUGAUUUUAUGGAAUUUUGAAAAUUCUUGUUUGGUCUUAUCCAGUCAG
rnacentral:tRNA from 1 species